rnacentral:rRNA from 1 species
CCUACGGGUGGCUGCAGUGGGGAAUAUUGCACAAUGGGCGCAAGCCUGAUGCAGCCAUGCCGCGUGUGUGAAGAAGGCCUUCGGGUUGUAAAGCACUUUCAGCGGGGAGGAAGGCGGUGAGGUUAAUAACCUCAUCGAUUGACGUUACCCGCAGAAGAAGCACCGGCUAACUCCGUGCCAGCAGCCGCGGUAAUACGGAGGGUGCAAGCGUUAAUCGGAAUUACUGGGCGUAAAGCGCACGCAGGCGGUCUGUCAAGUCGGAUGUGAAAUCCCCGGGCUCAACCUGGGAACUGCAUUCGAAAGUGGCAGGCUAGAGUCUUGUAGAGGGGGGUAGAAUUCCAGGUGUAGCGGUGAAAUGCGUAGAGAUCUGGAGGAAUACCGGUGGCGAAGGCGGCCCCCUGGACAAAGACUGACGCUCAGGUGCGAAAGCGUGGGGAGCAAACAGGAUUAGAUACCCUUGUAGUC